rnacentral:rRNA from 1 species
ACACUCCUACGGGAGGCAGCAGUGAGGAAUAUUGGACAAUGGGUGGAAGCCUGAUCCAGCCAUCCCGCGUGCAGGAAGACGGCCCUAUGGGUUGUAAACUGCUUUUAUCUGGGGAUAAACCUACUUACGUGUAAGUAGCUGAAGGUACCAGAAGAAUAAGCACCGGCUAACUCCGUGCCAGCAGCCGCGGUAAUACGGAGGGUGCAAGCGUUAUCCGGAUUUAUUGGGUUUAAAGGGUCCGUAGGCGGACUGAUAAGUCAGUGGUGAAAUCCGACAGCUUAACUGUCGAACUGCCAUUGAUACUGUUAGUCUUGAGUAAGAUUGAAGUGGCUGGAAUAAGUAGUGUAGCGGUGAAAUGCAUAGAUAUUACUUAGAACACCAAUUGCGAAGGCAGGUCACUAAGUCUUAACUGACGCUGAUGGACGAAAGCGUGGGGAGCGAACAGGAUUAGAAACCCCUGUAGUCCCAUG